GUUUUAGGCGGCAUUUAGAUUUAGUAGGGUUUGAUUCUUCACCUGUGGGAUAGGGAUUCCUCAGCCUCUGCUUCCUCUUUUGCUCGUGCCCGUCGUCUCCACGAUCGGCGCAGUGGAGGAUGGACCGUCGCGAUCAUUAACAAAUGCAUCGGGUCUCUGCGGCAGCGAUGGCAUUUAGAAGAAGAGGAGAAGCAGGUGGAAGAAUCACUUGCCGUCGAAUCAUCUCCUCCUCUUUCGACGUCUGCCAACGACGAACUACCGCGCAGAAUUUUUCAACAGGUAUGUUCUUGAAUACGCAUAUAUCGGAAGUUCUCUCAAAGUUCUUUCCAGCUACAGUUCUGCCCAGAUAUCGGAAGUAAAUUAUCAGUGGUUCAGAAGACAAGUCUGUGUACCACUGGGAACUCCAAACAAGAAAUCUUGUGCAGAAACUGGAAGUUCACGAGUAUCAUGCCACCCAUCUCAAAACAUGAUUGCUUCUGGGGUAAUUGAUGACAAUAAGGCAGUGAAAAUAUGUUUCAGAAGAAGUAAGAUCAGCCGGAAAACUGGCUUUUCAUCCCCGGGACAAGCUCUUGUCCGGUAGCAUCGUAGACCUGAAGCGGACAACUUAUGGUGCAGGUUCAAGCUUUAGGGUUCCUAUCACCGAUAUCUGUCAUCUUUUUAACCUCAACAAAGUUUGUGGACAAGUGGUCUAGCAGUUCAACAUCUCCUGCGUCUCCGAUAACCAUGCUUCGCCGCAGUCUCCGAUCGAUUUGCAGUUUAUGAAUGGCUCAUUUGACCUAAAAAUUAUUUGGCUUCCAUCUAUUAGAAUUCAUUACAGCAGGACUUCCAGUAUCACUAGGGACAAGGGAAACAGUGGUGACCAUGGUUGGAUGAGCUGUGGCAUGCAAGUACAGUCGAUGCAGAUCAACUGUUGCUGUUAUUAUUAUUAUCAUCAUUAUUCUUGGCCUUAUCAUCCUCAGCCUUCUCGAUGGUGUACUUGAGGGAACAAAUGCAUCUAAAUGGCUUGACAUUGUAAUGCAACAAUCUCCAUCCUCAGUCCAUUGAUGUAACAGUAUGAGAAUUAGUCCCAAGGGAAUCUUAAUUAGGUUGCUAACAAAGUUUGUGUUUGUUGUCAUCAGAUAAUUUUAUAUGCUACUAAUUGAGAAAUCAUGUGCCAAAUGUUGUUAUCAGUCUAAACGAAAAGGAAAGAUGGAGAUUUGCUU